CAAAAUCCCAGCGAUAGCAACCCACCCCUUUGUCUUCUUAUGUUCUGUGUAGCAGAAUCUCUGCUGUCAAGUCCUUGAGCCUGGCAACUUUUAUCUUUUCCUGAUGGAAAUGCAAUUCCGAUGACUUCAGUAGGAAUGGAGUUAAGCAACUGCAGCGUGUUUCAGCCGUACCCCUGAUAUGCUGUAGCCUUGUCCACAGAAUGCUGGUUUACUCCAGAGCACUUAGCCAAAAUCUUUUUUUUUUUUUUUUUUUUUUUGGUGCAACAAAUAAAUACAUAUGUUCUCUUUUCUUCUACCCCCUGCAUAGCUGCACAGUGAUACCCACUUGUCAGGCUCUUCAGGUGAAAAGGCCACUAUGCUAACAUUUCACCCUUGGAAGAAUACAGUCUGACAGGGAGUCAUCAAGAGGGUGUUGAAAUAAUAACCUGUGACUGAGGAUUUGACCUUCAAAUUAUUUGCUUAAACCUCUAAAUGUGGGAGGAGGAGAGUGUGCUUCAAGCUAUCAGCUUCUGUGGGGCUGAAAGGAGAAAUAAGCACUUAUUUUUGCUUUCCUUUGCUCCUUAGCUGGUUCUGUAGUAGCACUUCAGCAUUAAAUACCCCUCCUAGAACUCUGCUGACAUGAUUAGCAAUAAUGGUCAAUUAGGUGUACCGGGAAGGGAAGAAGAGGGACUAACAGAGAUGUCAAUUUUAGCACCAGUGGGACAAAAGAAAAUUAAUGUUUGCUGAGUAGAAAAGAUUUAACACCCUAGCAGGGAAGGGAAGAGAAGGAAAAAAAUGUAAGCCUGUGAAAGAAGAACUAUAGAAAAUAUUUAACAAUGCUUUUUAGGGCUUGCCAAACAAGCAAAGUGCAUUAUAGCAUUUUCACCUGCUGGUUCACAUGGAUUUGACUCCUGAUUCAUGAUUAUAUAACGUGUUUUGCAGCGUAGGUUUUAAGAAGGCCCUGAAGAACUGGUGAACCGAAUGCAGCAGAAGGUCGAGGAUGAAGAAGAACAUACYGAUAAUAAUGUGAAUACAAUUUCACAUUCAACGCUGGGCAGAUGGCCAGCUCCUAACCACAGGGAUUUUAACAGAUUUUUGUAUUUACAGAUGUAUCGGAUAAGACAAGCUUAUACAGCUAAGGAGAACCACGUGUCACUCAGGAGACUAGAGGAGAGCACGGAGAGCACAGCAUGGCAUCCAYGGGGGACCUUGCUCUGCGCCAUCACAGUCCAGUUGCCUUUUGAAUGAGACUCCUGAAUCAUCUACUUUUUUGUUUGUUCCUGAUGGAGCUAUUUCUAACGAAUAUGUUUGGUGGUUCUUUAAAUGUAGUUCUGCCAUGUUGCAGCAGCAAUUUGUGAAAUCUGUGUGAAACCCACC
rnacentral:lncRNA from 1 species